rnacentral:rRNA from 1 species
UACGGAGGAUGCAAGCGUUAUCCGGAAUGAUUGGGCGUAAAGCGUCCGCAGGUGGCAAUGUAAGUCUGCUGUCAAAGCGUCUGGCUCAACCAGAUAAAGGCAGUGGAAACUACACAGCUAGAGUGCGUUCGGGGCAGAGGGAAUUCCUGGUGUAGCGGUGAAAUGCGUAGAGAUCAGGAAGAACACCGGUGGCGAAGGCGCUCUGCUAGGCCGCAACUGACACUGAGGGACGAAAGCUAGGGGAGCGAAUGGG